AGAGAGAGACAUGCGCGCAUAUCAAUAAGCGGAGGAAAAGAAACUAACUAGGAUUCCCUCAGUAACGGCGAGUGAAGCGGGAAGAGCUCAAAUUUGAAAUCUUCAAGGUUCUACCUUGACGAAUUGUAGUUUAAAGAAGUGUUUUCUGUUGGAGUUUUGGUAAAAGUUCUUUGGAAUAGGACAUCAUAGAGGGUGAGAAUCCCGUAUUUGACCAUUAUUUCCAGCUUUGCGAUACACUUUCAAAGAGUCGGAUUGUUUGGGAAUGCAGUCCAAAAUGGGUGGUAAAUUUCAUCUAAAGCUAAAUAUUGGCGAGAGACCGAUAGCGAACAAGUACCGUGAGGGAAAGAUGAAAAGAACUUUGAAAAGAGAGUUAAACAGUACGUGAAAUUGUCAAAAGGGAAGCGUUUGACACCAGUGUUGUUUUCUCGAAAAUCAAUUAAAAAAGGCAGGAUUUUGUGUUGUAUUGACUUUAUCAGCUUUCUGCACUCUUUUCUUGUCUUUUUUUAAUGCACUUUUCGUUUAACAAGUCAACAUCAAUUUCUUUUGUUGUAAAGGGUCAUUGGAAGGUGGCUUUCUUUUCGGAGAAAGUGUUUAUAGCCUUUGACUCCUGCAAUCGGAGAGACUGAGGUCUGCAGCGUAGGAUCCUUCGGGGUUAGAUACAUUUGUGCUAAGUUAUAGCCUUUUAUAGACAACUUGUUGACUAUGAUUAGUCAUUGUAGCUUACUCGCUUAUGCUAUUUUACCUACGCUUAGGAUGUUGAUGUGAUACUGCGAGCA
rnacentral:rRNA from 1 species